rnacentral:rRNA from 1 species
UACGAAGGGGGCUAGCGUUGCUCGGAAUUACUGGGCGUAAAGCGCACGUAGGCGGACCUACAAGUCGGGGGUGAAAUCCCGGGGCUCAACCCCGGAACUGCCUUCGAAACUGUGGGUCUGGAGGUCGAGAGAGGUGAGUGGAAUUCCGAGUGUAGAGGUGAAAUUCGUAGAUAUUCGGAGGAACACCAGUGGCGAAAGCGGCUCACUGGCUCGAUACUGACGCUGAGGUGCGAAAGCGUGGGGAGCAAACAGG